UAGGGAAUCUUCGGCAAUGGACGGAAGUCUGACCGAGCAACGCCGCGUGAGUGAAGAAGGUUUUCGGAUCGUAAAGCUCUGUUGUAAGAGAAGAACGAGUGUGAGAGUGGAAAGUUCACACUGUGACGGUAUCUUACCAGAAAGGGACGGCUAACUACGUGCCAGCAGCCGCGGUAAUACGUAGGUCCCGAGCGUUGUCCGGAUUUAUUGGGCGUAAAGCGAGCGCAGAGCGCAGGCGGUUAGAUAAGUCUGAAGUUAAAGGCUGUGGCUUAACCAUAGUAGGCUUUGGAAACUGUUUAACUUGAGUGCAAGAGGGGAGAGUGGAAUUCCAUGUGUAGCGGUGAAAUGCGUAGAUAUAUGGAGGAACACCGGUGGCGAAAGCGGCUCUCUGGCUUGUAACUGACGCUGAGGCUCGAAAGCGUGGGGAGCAAACAGGAUUAGAUACCCUGGUAGUCCACGCUGUAAACGAUGAGUGCUAGGUGUUAGACCCCUUCCGGGGUUUAGUGCCGUAGCUAACGCAUUAAGCACUCCGCCUGGGGAGUACGACCGCAAGGUUG
rnacentral:rRNA from 1 species